GAUCUGUAUUCAUUAGGGAGAAAUAGGAUUGGCCAGAGGCAAAUGAUACAACAGGAUAAAUAAAUGUGCUCAGAAAUGUACGACGUUGUGCGCAAUAAGGAACGUGUCACCAUAGAAAUAGAAUCUACAUUAGAAUUCCGUGCUCGUCACAAUGUCCAAUUAACAUACAUUUGAAUUCCUAAUUCUAUGUGUAUUACUCAGAGGUGAAGUUAUUCACAAUCACAACCAACCUACAGAAUAUCAAUAGCAAACGCGAAUUCUUCAUUCAAGUCAAUCAAAAAUCGUAUAUGUUUUCCUGUUCUCAGUAAGAAAAUGCUCAAGAGGCAAUUCCGUACACUGAAAGCCCAGGGAAGACUCCCGCUAGACCUCCCUCUGAGACCAAUGAAGGCCUGGCUCCUGGCAGGGAAAAGAGUCUUCUUGGAGCGUGAGACAGAGACAUGGAAGAGAUGGAGGAAAGUCUGUGUAGCUGAAUUGACUUGGGAUGCAAAGAGGGGCCUGGAAUUACAGGAGACAGAGAGAGUUCUCCUGGUCAGUUGCCAGAGAGUUCAGGAUGAAUUAAGGAUGUCUGAUUUCACCGUGGACACGGCGCCCAACGAAGCCAUCCAGCUUCUGAAAGAGGAGUGUUGGAAGUUGAACUUCUUGCACCUAAAGGAUGAGACAUGCCAGGCCACUGAGCUCCCUGAGCUGUAUGGGCAUUCUGAGACCUCUUCAAAGGAAACUCUAAUUGAAGAGAAAAGUCCAAAGACCAAGUGCCCGUCCAGCGUCGCUGGGGCUGCUGACAUUGACAACACCAAUGAGGAGGAUUCAGAGGAGUCUCCGGAUAACAAUGUGGUGGACUUUCAGGAUGAGCCGCUGGCCCUGGUCAGUGUGGAGAAAGACGCUGCUGGAGAUGGAAAGGUCCUCAGCAAGGUGGUGAAGCCCAAAGGAUGUCUGAAGGAGAGCUGCAAAGAUCAGCUAACCCCAACAAUCUAUGAUAUGAUUACGGAACUACCAAAGUCCUAUUUCGGAUCCACUGAGAGCCUUCCUGAGAUGUGUAGCAGAGGUCCUGAGGUGUGCAGUGGAGUGCCUGGGGUGAGUAACAGAGGUCCAAAGGUGUGCAGUGGAGCGCCUGAGGUGCCAAAUGCAGUGGGAGAGGUGUCAAGUGACACAAAGAAGACAGAGGCAACUGGAGACCUUCUGAACACUGGAAACGGCCUGAGAAAGGUGGUGCAGCUAUCCACCGAGAGCCAUGCUGAGGUGUGCAAUGGAGAGGCUGAGCUGUGCAGUGGUCCUGAGGUGUGCAGCAGAGGUCCUGAGGUGUGCAGCGGAGGUCCUGAGGUGUGCAGCGGAGGUCCUGAGGUGUGCAGCGGAGGUCCUGAGGUGUCAAACGCAGUGGAAGAGGUGUCCAGUGACACAAAGACUACAGAGGCUGCUGAAGACCUUCUGGACACUGGAAAUGUCCUCAGCAAGGUGGUGAACCCCAAAGGGUGGCUGAAGCAGGACUGGGAUGAUCAGCUGAACAGAGACGUCAAUGAUAUGAUUGCAAAUCUCCCAAAGCCCUAUUUCGGAUCCAUCGAGAGCCUUCCUGAGGUGUGCAGCAGAGGUCCUGAGGUGUCAAACGAAGUGGAAGAGGUGUGCAGUGACACAAUGAAGAUAGAGGCUACAGGAAAUCUUCUGAAAACUGGAAAUGGCCUAAGCAAGGUGGUGCUCCUAUCCACUGAGAGCCGUCCUGAUGUGUGCAUUAGAGUGCCUGAGGUGUUCAGUGGAGGCCCAGAGGUAUGCAGUGAAAUGCCUGAAGUGUACAGUGGAUGUCCUGAGGUGUUCAUUGGAGUCCCUGAGGUGUCAAACCCAGUGGAAGAGGUGUCCAGUGAUACAAAGACAGAGGCUGCUGAAGAACUUCGGGACACUGAAAAUGACCUCAGCAAGGUGGUGAAAUCCAAAGGGUGGCUGAAGGAGGGCUGGGAAGAUCAGCUGACCAAAGACUUCAAUGAUAUGAUUGCAAGACUCCCAAAGUCCUAUUUUGGAUCCAACGAGAGCCUUCCUGAGGUGUGCAGCGGAGUGCCCGAGGUGUCGAACGCAGUGGAAGUGGUGCGCAGUGACACAAAGAAGCAGAAGAAAAAUGGUGUUCUACGAUGUUUCCGACGUGUGUGGAAGUUCUUCACAUGCACCAGCAGCCUCCCCAAAGAGGAGUGACUCAAGCACACACAACUCUGGGCAACACUUUCUCC
ensembl:lncRNA